AAGGUUUUAAGUUAAAAAAACUAACAGCCUUCAAAGCUGUCAAUAAAAUAAAAUUUUUAAACCUUA
rnacentral:tRNA from 1 species